rnacentral:lncRNA from 1 species
AGUCAUUUUCUGUUGGAUCAGUGAACUAUCAGAAGCACUACAUGAUGCAAAACCACUAACAGAUGCAGUGAGAGAGAUAGUUUUCCCUCAUUAAGGCUUGUCCAGUACAUUGGAUAUGAAAAUAAAAGACACAUACUUGAAGAAAGGAUGGCAGAUUGGUCAUGUGUGGUAAACUACUUGUAAGAGAGAAAUUUUUAUACGGAUAUUUUCACCGCAGAAACUGACUGGGAAAACUCUCCAGAAUAUAAAGCACUUUGGGAAAACAUGGUUUAAAGAAUGAAGUAUGUCACCUGCUAAAGUUGUUAAAGAAAGUGAACAGGAAAAAGAACACAGUGACACCAACAGGAGUCCUGGAGGAGACGAUGCCAAAGCUGCCGAGUGGCCAGCACGUUCCAUUAAGUGUGAGGAAGCAGAGGACAGCUCGCUGCUCCCAGCUGCAACCAGAAACAACGGAGAGCAGUGGCACCUGGGAGCCUGGUGUGGAAGAGGCUGGGCGUGGGCCACCAGGACCAUCUUAUAGAUGGGAGACUGGAGGGCACCUCCACAGCUGCAGGUGUCGGUGCUAAAAACGGAUUAUAGAGACUGGUCCGUUUUGCCCUUGUUAGCAUGCUUGUAGCAAUGGGUCUGAAGUCCCAUGUUAGGUGGCAUGGAGCUCCUCCCAGCAAGAUGUGGAGGAAGGCAGGCCAGCUACAUAAAGGUGAAGAGACGCUGAAAGGGGGAUACUGAACACUCUGGCCUGUAACCAUGGCAAGCAGAUUGCUGCUUUUAAGAGCAGCUGAAGAAAUGAAAUUGCAUUUGAGUGGUGAGAGAAUAAAGGAAGGAUGAGUUGGUGUUAAUAGAGAAGA